rnacentral:rRNA from 1 species
UAUAUGUACGCCUGAGUGGAGUCUUCGGACAAAGCGAAGUGAUAAAAGCUCUUCCAAGAAAAACGAGUAUAGCAACCGGUACCGCAAACCGACACAGGUAGACGGGAUGAGUAUUCUAAGGCGCUUGGGUGAGCCGUGGAGAAGGAACUAGGCAAAUUGACGCUGUAACUUCGGGAUAAAGCGUACCAUCUUCGGAUGGUCUCAGUAAAAUGGUUCAACCAACUGUUUAACAAAAACACAGGGCCCUGCAAAAUCGAAAGAUGACGUAUAGAGCCUGAUACCUGCCCGGUGCUGGAAGGUUAAGGAAGGGUGUUCGCCGCAAGGCAAAGCUCCUGACUGAAGCCCCAGUAAACGGCGGCCGUAACGAUAACGGUCCUAAGGUAGCGAAAUUCCUUGUCGGGUAAGUUCCGACCUGCACGAAUGGUCUAAUGAGUUGAACGCUGUCUCCUCCACGAGCCCAGUGAAAUUGUAGUAUCGGUGAAGAUGCCGGUUACCCGCCACGGGACGGAAAGACCCCGUGAACCUUCACUAUAGCUUUGCAUUGAUUUUGAAUUACGGAUGUGUAGAAUAGUUGGGACGCUACGAAGCAUUGCCGCCAGGUAGUGUGGAGCGGUCGUUGAAAUACCAACCUUCUUUGAUUUAGGAUCUAAUCCCUUGCGGGAAACAGUGCAUGGUGGGUAGUUUGACUGGGGUGGUCGCCUCCUAAAGAGUAACGGAGGCUUGCAAAGGUUCCCUCAGUACGGUUGGUAAUCGUACGUAGAGCGCAUCAGUAUAAGGGAGCUUGACUGUGAGGCACACAAGCCGAGCAGGGACGAAAGUCGGCUGAAGUGAUCCGGCGGUUCUGUAUGGAAGGGCCGUCGCUCAAAGGAUAAAGGUACUCCGGGAUAACAGGCUGAUCUCCCCCAAGAGCUCAUAUCGACGGGGAGGUUUGGCACCUCGAUGUCGGUUCGUCACAUCCUGGGGCUGGAGAAGGUCCCAAGGGUUCGGCUGUUCGCCGAUUAAAGUGGCACGUGAACUGGGUUCAGAACGUCGCAAGACAGUUCGGUCCCUAUCUGUGGUGGGCGCAAGUAAAUUGAGAGGACAUGACCUUAGUACGAGAGGACCGGGUCGUACACACCGCUGGUGUAUCUGUUGUGCCGCCAGGUGCAAUGCAGAGUAGCUAUGUGUGGCCAGGAUAAACGCUGAAAGCAUCUAAGCGUGAAACCUUCCUUAAGAUGAGUUUACUUUUAAGGGUCGUCAAAGACUAUGACGUUGAUAGGCUACAGGUGUAAAGGUGGUAACAUCAAAGCCGAGUAGUACUAAUUGCCCGUACGCUUUAAUCC